CGACUUCUACGCCGCUCACCCCAACAAACCCGGCAGAACACCAAGACGCGUUCGUUGAGAGGGGGUUACUGUGGUGAGCUGCCUCCUCCUCUUGUUUUAUUUUGGUUGGACUUCCUGUUUUACUUUGUUUGCCUGAUCUGGCUUGACUCUUUUCCAGAACACCCUCCCCCUCCCCGGAUGCUGAGGCUGAGUGAGACUCCACACCUGCACGGAAUCUGCAAUCAAGGCCUUUAAGAAGCCAGCAGCCCUCAGUCUCAGAGUAUUGUCUUCACUCCCAAGUGAUACAGACGCGUCUCCUGGCCUCCUUUUUGGAUAAGUGCUGGUAACUUUGCUCCCUGUGAUUCUUUAUAUGCCUACUCACUUCCAUCUCCUCUGUUUUCUCUGCAGUGUCUCCAGCCCACACAACAGCCAGCCAGCCAACAAGACUUUCUCUUUUGCUUUACCCUUCAGUUUGGAC